UGGGGAGUGGUGUAAUGGAAAGACACGCCGGCCUUUGGAGCCGUGAGGUCCAGGUUCGAAUCCUGGCUCCCCAG
rnacentral:tRNA from 1 species